AAUGAAGAAUCGUAGAAGAGGAAGAUGAUCAGGAAGAGCCAAAACGAAUUCCUCUUCCUCGAUUGAUGUUCUAACAAUUGGCGAUUUCAUUUCUGAAUGCAGAUAAAAUGAUAGUAGCAGUGAAAAUACUGCUACUUUAGUUCUGUAAACAAUGGUUUCUUUGGCCUUAGAUUCCACUAUCCUCCCAAGAACAAGUUGUAGAAGAAGAAUCUUGAGCAGAAGUUUUAGUAGUAGUAUUAGUACGAGAACUAGUGGGAUUUCUCCUCCUGUUAUUGGUUUCAAGAGUAUCAGUAUCAGAGCCUUUCCCUACAAACCUUUGAUUGCUGCAGCUGCUGCUGCUUCAGAUAAUAAUCAAGAAGCAGAAGUAGAAGAAGAACAAGCAUCAAGAAGAAUUGUUCUGGACAGCCUCAGAGUCCUUGAGUGGGAUAAACUAUGUGACUCUGUAGCUUCUUUUGCUGGUACUUGUUUAGGCAAACAGGCCACCAAGGUAUUUCUAAUUUCUUGGAUUUCUUUCCAAUUUCCUAUCAGUACUACUGAUUGUGAUUCUUGGACCCUUUUCAUCCUUGAAUGAAUUUUUUUACCUCAUUGGAUGCAGGAGCAAUUGUGGUCAUUGAACAAAACGUAUGAGGAUAGUGUAAGGCUUCUUCAAGAGACAAAUGCGGUAGUGGAGAUGCACAAGUAUGGUGCCAUGCUGGACUUUGUUGGCAUUGACACUGCCCUUGUAAGUUUAACCGAUCAUUGUUAUUGUAGAUGCGGUAGAGAUUUUUUUAGUUUAAUUUUAUUUUGCAAUUAGACAAAAUUCUAGAAAUUCUUUGUGGGGUAUUUAUUCUGAAUAAGAAACAACUGAUACUUCUUUGGAGGCGUUGUUUUAGUAACUAAAAGCUACCAGUAAUGGUACACUAACCAGGCUAGUAUGAUUUUUGGAUGAAGGUCAAAUCGGCUAUACAAUGUGCAAAGAGAGAUUCCCCUGUUACUGGAAGUGAAGCUAUGGCCCUUGUUGCUCUCUUACAGUUUGCAGAGGCGUUGCAGUUUAAUCUGAAAGCUGCUGUUAAACAAGAUGCCGACUGGUAUCAGCGUUUCAUGCCUCUUUCUGAAAAGGUACAAUCUUCUUAGUUGAUUGUUGCAUCCCACUUUUGUGUACCUUUCAUUCUUAUUUAUUUAUUUAUAAUUGUUUUUUGUUGUCCACCCCAUUGACUUCCAGAUUUCAGAACUUGUUAUAAGUAGACCACUGAUAAGGUUCAUACAGCAACUUGUAGAUGAAGAUGGCUCUGUUAAGGAUUCUGCGGUAUUUUUUUGUUUUUGGUUUAACUCGAUUAUUCAAGCUUGUCACCACUUUUUGUUUCUUAUUGUUUGAUAAAUUUCAGUCUUUGUGUUUGGUAGAAGGGAGUUCUUAAUAGGUAUUCUAGGUUUUCAUGAUUAUUUAGUUCUUAAUAGGUAUUCUAGCUUUACAUGAUUAUUUACCCAGCUUCCCAUUCCUCCCAGUAUCUAUGAGCAUUUUGUUUUUUUGGCUUCUUGCAGCAACUGCAUUGAUAUUUCUUUAUCUUCUUAUAGUUUUACUUGUUUUCCAUCUCAGAGUUCUGCUUUGAAACAAUCCCGGGAGCAAGUACGCUUUAUUGAAAGAAAGGUACAUUGUAUUUGAAUGCCUGUGCUGAUUGACACUAUCAUGUUCCUAGCUCAUCCGCAUACACUUUAGUCAACAAACUUUUUACUUCAUUUUUCACUGAAUUCUCUAGCAGCUCCAUUUAGAAGAUAGUCUAUUAAAGACUGUAGUCCAACAGAAUACUACAGUUUACUCCAAACUUCAUAGAAGGGCCCUUGUGUACUUUUAUAUGUCAUUUGUGAACAUUCUUUUGAACAAAUAUCACUCUAUGGCCAGCUGACCUCGACAUGAGCUAUUGUUUCUCAUCUACCAAGAACUGUUGAUUCUACUCUAAGAAAUUGAUCUAGUGGGCAACCGGCAGAAAAAAAAAUUGCUGUUAGGUGAAGGCAGUAGACUAAAGUUUUUUGGCUUGACACAAAUGCACCUAAGAAUGUAGCUUCAUCUGUCCAUGUUAUCCAGGGAAUUACCCAGUCUUCCUUAAUACAAAGGACUGGUUACAUCAGUUUCCUUGAUGAAUGGUUAGUCUUUGAACAAGUCUAUCUGUCAAUUUUUUGUUUCCAUUUGUUUCUUCCUAUUGGACUUAAUAACUAGCAGAGAGUACCGCAGUAGGGUCAAAACCUCAAGGUCGUUGUUUUCAGACCGACCCCUUGGUCUACCAUCUAAAUCUAGCUGAAUUCCAUUUUGAAAUGUCAAAGAAGAUCUAUCAGUACGUAUGAUACAAGGUUGUGUAGCUUAUAAUUUUUCUUUUAUUUUUGUUCGGAGUACAUCUUUACAUUUUCUAGAUGCUGCUGCAUCCCUUUUCUUGGUGGAAUAGUUGGCUUUGCUUCUUUUAUACAAAGGACAGUUAGCAGUUCAAUGCCCACAGCAUACAUUAUAUGUGAAGUUGGUUGUGUGUGUUAACUCUGCCUUAGAAUUUGUCCUUGUCCAGAUUUGCUUUCUGAUCUUUGCACCUUCUUAUCAGUUAUACCAGUUGAUGGAAAGCUUCAUCAGGAAUGAAAUGAAAGAAACAUCCUCUUUGGUGAGCUCCUUUGUUAGAUAUUUUAUAUUAUUGCACAUAAAUGAAAAUUGGAUAUGCUAUGACCUUUCCGGUUAACUUUUGUGAUGAUUUAGGUAGUGAGCAGUGUUGAUGGCAGAUGGUGCAUAACUUCAGGCACCAAAAUUCAAUCAUAUGUCAAGGGGCUACUGUUGUCAAGGUGCAUUGUAGAUCUUGCAGGCUUUUAUUAUCUUUUGCUUAUACUAAAGAUCUCCGCUGAUUAGAUUCUGCAUAUCAUUGUUUGUUUUUCUGUAUCAUGCUGUUGAACAAUAACAGAAUUGUGACUGCAGCAGCUGCACUUGGAAUACAAAAUAAAAUGAGACUGUCAGGAUCUCAUCUAAUAUCUUACACUGUUCACUUAUCCCUUAGGAUAAUUAUAGCCAUGUUAUUAAUUUUGGGUUGCUUUUAGAAGCGUGAAGAUAGGAAUCAAAUGCCAGUUGUAUUCUGUUCUUCAGUUUACCCAAAUCUAAAGUUAAUUUGACGUGUGGUGUUAAAAUAUCAUUUAACUAAAGAGUGCUACCUAAGGUUCUUGGUAUGCAGAAUGGCAUCAGCAUGAAUGAAAAAGUCAUUUAUUAUUUUUCCCAAGUGGAUAAGAGAUUUUUUUGGUACUGCUUCACAAUACCUUAUGUUUUAUCUUGAGAGCUUAUGCUCUAUUGUAGUGGUUCAGGUGCAGGUAGCAUUCUAGAACCCCUUUCUGCUGUCCCACUUAAUGACCAGUUGCAACAAGCAAGGGCAUCUGUUGCUAAGGCUGAAGCUGAUGUGCUUUUAAAGAUAACAAAGAAGGUUUUAAUUUAUUCCAAAUAAAGUUCCAGAAUUGCAAUGUCAAGUUCUUAAAGUAGAAGUGAGUAUAUUCUAAUAGUUUCCUUUGUUAAACAGAUGCAAAUGGAUCUUAAUGAGAUUGAAAUCGUGUUCGAUGAUAUGAUUGAACUAGAUGUGGUAAGUAUUUUUGAUGAAAACUAUGUUUCCAUAAUUAAUUUAAUUUGGGAUGGAGGGGAUUAUAUUGUUGAUGCACAAAAAUGGACUUCAGAAUUGUUGGGCUCUGAGAGAGCCAAACUCGGGGAGAAUUUAACCAUGAGCUAGAAUGGGAACCACAACCAUGGGCUUGACACCACAUCCAACCCAAAACCUUAAGGCAUUGGGUCUAUGGAUCAUUCCCACUUAUAUGUUCCUCAUUCUACUCAUCUCUUUCCAAUGUAGGAUAUUGAUUCACACUUGAUAUCCCAACAAUCUCCCCCUCAAUUGUGAAUCUCUUCCACAUCGGACCUCUCUCCCUAGGCCAUCCACUCCAUCAAGCCCACUUCAAUCUGGAGUGUACGAUUCUUGCUCAAGAGCCCACAUGCCCUUGCCUCACUGCAGGUCUGCAUGAUUUUUUUUUUCCUGCUCUUAUUCAAGCCACACCUUACCACUCCCACUGGCUUUUUUUUAUCCUGGAGUCACUGCCCAGCCGAACCAUCGGCUCUGAUACCACUUGUUGGGCUCUGAGAGAGCCAAACUCGGGGAGAAUUUAACCAUGAGCUAGAAUGGGAACCACAACCAUGGGUUUGACACCACAUCCAACCCAAAACCUUAAGGCAUUGGGUCUAUGGAUCAUUCCCACUUAUAUGUUCCUCAUUCUACUCAUCUCUUUCCAAUGUGGGAUAUUGAUUCACACUUGAUAUCCCAACAAGAAUAACUCUAAAAAUGGGCUAAAGUAUUGCCUUUCUUGUGAAUUUAUUGAUGGUAGUUGUGGUGAUAUUCUGAUCUCCAUUUAUCUCGUACUUUUCCUUUAGGGUUAUAGAUAGGUCAUAUUCUGUUGUGCAUGAGAAGGGGAAGCAUAUGGGCAAACACUUUUCUGUGCACUAUUUUGUUUGCUUUUGGUUAAUCAAGGUCCAGAAUUUUGCUGAUACAGGGACAACUUUUCAUUUAUUUGUAUUUUCCUAAUUAUAUAUAUAAAACUCGAGUCAUUUUGAUCUUGGGGUUUGUUUAACGUUAUUUCUAUCAUAUUUCUUGGGAGAGUGAUUGCGUAUUUGACUGCAUAAAUGAAUUGUCAAUGGCAAUGGCAAUGAAUAUCAUAGCCCCCUUAAUAAUAAUGGUUUUGUGAAGAUUUCUUCUUGUGAAAUCUCAUGUUUGGUAGGUAGGGUGGAAUAAGAAUGACUUUUCCAUUUUUAAUUUAUUUCAGCCUCAUCAGCUUUUCUAUUUACUCUCAUUUUCUUUUUCUUUAUUUUUUUCCCUUCCUUUUUCUUCAUCUCAUGCCCACUGCCACCUCCAACUCUCUCCACCGCAUAAUAUGACAAUCAAACUUGUGCUACAACUUCAGAUGUUAAAACCAAACGCAAAAAAUUGCACCUUCUAAUUUGUCCAGAAAAGAAAUCCUGAUCACGCCCAGAACUUCUUUGGUGCCAUGAGAUAGAUUUAUAAUUUUUUCUGAGUAAAAACCCACUUCUGAUUUUGCUAAUUUCUCCUGUUCUGCAAAGUGUGAAUCAAUCAAAAUUUGCUCCAAAUCCGAGAAUAUAUGAACAAAGACAACUGUAAACCAUCUUCCACAAUGAAGGAAAGCAGAGAGAGAUCAGGAUGAAGCAGAUUGGAAUGUGAAAACAGAAGAGAGGGGCCAUGCUCUUCCUUUCCAUAUUUUUUCAACUUGAAUUUUUGUUUAUUUCUACUUUCUUUUAAAAGGUGGGUAAUGAGAGCUGAUAUUGCCCAAUUUAGUGGGUUUUGGGGGCUGGAAGACCCAGAAGUGGAUGAUGCAAAAUCCCAUAGUAGUAUACUGAGCAUAACCAGUGGGCAUCAUUACCUGUCAGUCAUUCCCAUUGAGGAGUGCAAAACCUCCCAACCAAGUGGGUGUUUCUUAUAGAUGCUUGGAUAUGGCAAUGCUAUUUAAUCAGCAUUCUGGUUUCCAUUUGCCUUAAAAUGUUGUAAUUUUCUGAACAGAUAAAUGCCAGAGCACGAUAUAGUCUAUCAUUUGGGGGCUCAUUUCCUGAUAUAUUUUUGCCACAAGCCGAGGAUGGUUGCCGUCCAUCUGCUGUUUUGUCAAAGGCAACUACUUCAGUGGUUUCUCAUCCAACCCAGAAGAAUUGGACUUUGUAUCUUCCGAAAGCUUAUCAUCCUCUCCUCAUUCAGCAGCAUCGGCAGAGACUAAUGAAGGCCAAGAAGGAUGUCAAUGAUGCUGUUGCUGUAAGUCGUGAGUUAAACUUUCUACUGCUACCUUGUUUUUCCUAUGGUAUUAAGUUUAUGGCUGAAUCUAUACAGACUCCAAUAUCCUUCUGUUUAUGCAUACCAAGUGAUGUAUUUGCAUAUGAAUCUGUUUGGCUCAUGUUAUUCUUCAUAAAAUUUUAUCCUCUUCUUGGAAUUUGGUUGGAGGAGAGGAUGGUGAUUUUUACUUGAGGAUUGUUUUCUCAACUCCAACUUUUGGGUAUAUAUUGAAUUUAUGUAAUUUCCUUUUUCAUCAAAUGAACUUGAUGUUUUUUGACUCCAGGAAAUCAGGAGGAGAAAACAAGGAGGAAGCAUGGUGGGAAAGAAAGAAACAGAUUUAUGUAUUUCAUCCUUGGAACAGGAGGUUAUAUUUUAGGACUAAAAUCGAUCUUUCAUUUUAACUUCAUGUUUCAGUAAAGUUGAUACUUCAUAAUUUUGAACCUGGAUUUUUUUUUUGGGUGAAGUCAGGUUGCUGAGUUACAAGAAGCUGGUCCAGUUCCUAGUGAUGUAUUUAUUGCUAGAAAUACUAGAGUUGUUGUAAUAACAGGCCCCAAUACUGGAGGCAAAACUAUUUGCUUGAAGACUGUUGCCUUGGCUGCCAUGAUGGCAAAAUCAGGUGAACUGUAGCAUUUUAAUCUUGAAUUGUCAGAAUUUUUCUUGCACACAAAGUGUAUCUAGCUUUUCUGAACAUAUUGUUCAAUUCACUACAUGAUCUAGGUAUCUAAGACUCACUGAAGGUAUUGUUUUUUCUACUUUACUCUCCAAGUAAAUGUUGUACAGAUUUCUUUGCAGUCUAGAUGAAAAGUUUAAGCUAUUAAAGUCAUAGGCAGGAGAGCAAUAUCAAAAGAGUAAGGUAGGCAUGAGUCUUGGCUUCCCUAUGUUAAAACUCUAUGACCAGUGAAAUCUGACAACUAAUUUCGUUCAAGAAUAAAUCUUAACUUCCCUGUGUGAGGAAAUGGAGAAAAGUUAAUGAAUUCUAUGAAGACAAUCAUUUUCUCAAGCUAGCGUUCCUUGUUUUAUCAUUUAAUUAGAUUUUUAAUAAAAUUUUUACCAGCAAUCUCUUUGUAUUCUGCUUCUUGAAACUAUCUAAUCAUAAAAGAUGGUGCGAUCAAUGAUACUGUUAUUGCUAAUAGCAGAUGAUACGAGUCAAAUAUUGAUACUGAACACAUGACCUAAUAGGUUUAUAACUGAGCUGAUUGAUGGGCGGUUGAGAUAUGAUUUGGGUGCCUUAGUACAUUUAUCUAUAUCUGGUCAGAGCAAUUUGAAGUUUUCCCGUAACAAGUAAAUUACAGGAAAAUAGAAAAGGUUAUUUUGAAAGAAUGGGAAGAACAGAUAACGACGCGAAUAGUGUUGUACUGUGGUUUAACUUUCUGUCAAAAAUUUUAGGUAUGAUGUUCUACAUUUGCUUGUCUCUCUUUGGAGCAUGUCAUGGAGCUAUUAGGAGGGUACCCUAUUAUUAAUGAAAUCUCUGCUUUAAUUCUGUUUUUGCAGGUAUAUAUGUGUUAGCUUCUGAACCAGUAAAGAUCCCUUGGUUUGAUUUUGUCUUUGCGGAUAUUGGUGAUGAACAGUCCUUGUCUCAGUCUCUGUCUACCUUCUCUGGCCAUGUGAAGCAAAUUAGUGUAAGUUGGUUGUUGUUAAGGAUUUUGCACUUUGAACAUGGCUUUUAUAUAUUGUUUUCGUUUCCUUGCUAUCAAAAGGAAUUUAAGGUGCACACGUGGAAUUUCAUUUUGUUAGUAGUUACAAAAUGUCUCCUGUUGCAAAAAGGCUCGAUAUCCCAAUCAUCUUUAGGUAACUUAAGAACCUCUCAUGAAAGAUACAAUCUCCAAUUUUGUGAGUUAUUUCCCCCCAAGUUGUAGUUAAGAUGACAGAGUAUCUUGAAGUCCAUUUCUCAUGCAGUAAAGCUAAAUGUCAUACAUGUUGUAUAUUUGGCUUGCAUGAGGAGUUUUUUGGUAGGUGUUGAUGACCAUAACAAAUCUAAAACUAUAUCUCAUUUUACUUGACAAACAUAGAAAUAUCCCCAACCUCAAAAGACAAUCAAGUGGAUUGAAUAAAUAGUGUGUUUAGUAUAUGCCUUUUUGGAUAAGUAAUGGGUAAACAUCAAUAAUCAGUUGCUGUUUAUCAAUUUAUGAGUAAGUAAAUGUGCAAUAGUGCAUAGUUCGUUUGUUAGGACUGAGCCAGGAAAUAGACAAAUCCAAGUUAGGACAAAGUAGGCGGUAUAACCGACCAUAUAAUAGAUAGGCGGUAGAUACCAGCCAUAUAAUAAUUAGGCGGUAAAACCGACCAUAUAAAGACGGAUAACAAAGCAAAUAAAAGACACAGAAGAUUUACGUGGUUCGGUCAAAUUGACCUACGUCCACGGGCGAGUGAGGAGCAAUAUUUCUACUAUGAAAAAGAAAUACAAAAGACCGUAGGAAAGUGUUUCCUAGGCCAAUAGGCACUUACAAAAGAGUAGAAAAUAUUCCUAAACUCAAAACAAGAGAGCCUAAAAUAUUUGACUGAAUGGGCUAGAUGACUCAAGAAGCUAAUAGCCCAUAUAACUCUCUUGAGUGGUGCGAGUUUAUUCCUUCAUCAGGCUCCCUUAUUUAUAGGAAACCAAAGGAAGAAUUCCUUUGGCUUCUACCGAUGUGGGACGAAGCACCAAAAGCAUUUGGUCAACAAAUGCGGCUUCAACAAAUCUCCACCUUGAUGAGUCCCCAACAUCGAGAGAUUAUAAACUUGCUCCACCUUCUUCAUAUAAGCCCCAAUGGGCUUAAAUCACCAAUAACGAACACCAACCAAGUCCAAGCACUGCUUGAACUUGUAAUUUGGAAGAGGUUUCGUAAACAUAUCGGCUGGAUUGUCCUUAGUAUUGAUUUUCUGAAUAAGGACUUUUCCCUCAGCAAUGAUAUCCCGAAUGAAGUGAUACUUCACAUCAAUGUGUUUCGUUCUCUCAUGAUACAUCUGAUCUUUAGUCAAGUGUAUGGCACUUUGACUAUCACAGUGAAUAUCAAUAACACCUUGAUAUAGACUUAGCUCGUUAAAUAAACUCUUCAACCACAAGGCUUCUUUGAUUGCCUCGGUCACAGCCAUAUAUUCUGCUUCAGUAGUAGACAAAGUUACGACAGGUUGUAGAGUAGCUUUCCAACUAACAGCACAACCGCCAAUGCAAAAUACAUAGUCUGAAAGUGAUCUUCUCCUGUCAAGAUCCCCAGCGUAGUUUGAGUCUACAAAACCAACCAAAGUGUUAUUAUUUCUUCCAAACUCCAAACAUGUAUUUGAAGUACCUCGCAAGUAUUUGAGAAUCCACUUCACAGCUUGCCAAUGUGCUUUACCAGGGCAAAACAUAUAUCUGCUAACAACACUGACUGCUUGUGCAAUAUCUGGACGAGUACAAACCAUUGCAUACAUAACACUGCCGACUGCACUGGAAUAAGGAACCCGUGUCAUAUAAUCUUCCUCUUCAUCUGAUUUUGGUGAUUGAGCAGCAGAUAGCCGAAAAUGGCUAGCAAGAGGAGUAGAUACUGGUUUAGCAUCUUUCAUGCCAAAACGCUCCAAAACUUUCUCAAGGUAAUUUUUCUGGGUCAAGAACAAUUUCCCUACUCCUCGAUCUCGCUUGAUAUCCAUGCCAAGAAUUUUCUUAGCUGCUCCCAAAUCUUUCAUUUCAAAUUCACUAUUUAACUGCAGUUUCAAAGUGUGAAUUUCUGACAAAUUCUUGGCAGCAAUGAGCAUGUCAUCAACAUAAAGCAGCAAAUAAAUGAAAGAACCAUCAUUUAACUUCCGGAAGUAAACACAACUAUCAUACAUGCUCCUAAAAUAACCAUGACCCAACAUAAAGGAAUCAAAUCUUUUAUACCAUUGUCUUGGAGACUGCUUUAAUCCAUAUAAGGAUUUCUUCAAUAAGCAAACAUGGUCUUCCUUACCUUCAAUUUUAAAACCCUGGGGUUGUUUCAUAUAAAUUUGUUCUUCAAGUUCGCCAUGUAAGAAAGCUGUCUUAACGUCGAGUUGUUCUAAUUCCAAAUUAUACAUGGCAACUAAAGCAAGCAAAACACGAAUAGAGCUAUGUUUAACAACAGGUGAGAAUAUAUCAUUAAAAUCAACACCUUGUACCUGACUAUAGCCCUUUGCAACCAAUCGUGCUUUAUAUCUUGCAUCUUCAACCCCUGGAAUACCUUCCUUUUUCUUGAAGACCCACUUGCAACCAACAAUUUUCUUAGCUGACGGCGGCUUUAUAAGAACCCAAGUUUCAUUCUGAUGAAGAGAUUCAAUUUCUUCAUUCAUCGCAAUCAACCACUUUGCAGAAUCAUCACAAGAAACUGCUUCUGAAUAGGUGGAAGGCUCACCAACUGCAUCAGUUUCUUCUGCAACAGAUAAAGCAUAUGCAACUAAAUUUGCAUAUCUUUGUGGUGGUCGAAUGUCUCUCCUUUGUCUAUCUCUGGCUAUGGAAUACUCCUCUUCUUCUGAGCUAUCUUCAACAGUAGAUUCAGGUGUAUCUACUGGCAUUUGUUGAAUAGAAGAUUUGGACUGAGAAGGACCAGAACUGCCAAUAUGAAGCUCCACCUGCUUCUGUGUACUAUUAGUAGUACAAGGACUAGAAGACUCUUUCUUGGAAGAUAACAUAGACAAUUCAUCGAAAGUAACAUCUCUACUGAUCACAAAUUUUGGAGAUUUGGGAUCAGGACACCAUAAUCUGUAUCCUUUCACCCCAGAAGCAUACCCAAGAAAAAUGCACUUUUUAGCACUAGGCUCCAAUUUUCCAUCAUUCACGUGCAUGUAUGCUGGACAUCCAAAAAUUUUUAAAUUGGAGUAAUCAGCAGGAGUACCUGACCAAACUUGCUCAGGAGUUUUGAAAUCAAUAGAUGCAGAAGGAGAACGGUUGACAAUAUAACAGGCCAUAUUGAUCGCCUCUGCCCAAAAGUCAUUUGUCAACCCUGCAUUGGAGAUCAUACAUCUUGCUCUCUCCAAAAGAGUUCUGUUCAUACGUUCAGCCACACCAUUUUGUUGAGGCGUCAUUCUGACGGUGUGAUGCCGAACAAUUCCUUCAUUCUUGCAGAAUUCAUUGAAUUCACCUCCACAAAAUUCCAUGCCAUUAUCUGUUCUCAACCGCUUAAUAUGCUUUCCUGUUUGUUUCUCAAUCAAAACUUUCCAUUGCUUGAAAGUUAGGAAAACAUCAUUUUUAUGCUUAAGAAAAUAGACCCAAACUUUCCUUGAAUAAUCAUCAAUGAAAGUCAACAUGUACCUGGCACCACCUUUAGAAGGAGCACGAGAAGGACCCCAUAGAUCUGAAUGAAUGUAAUCAAGAGUACCUUUUGUCUUGUGAAUUGCUGGUGAACUGAAGCUGACUCUUUUCUGCUUCCCAAAAAUACAAUGUUCACAGAAUUCCAAUGGACCGGUACUUUGUCCACACAGAAGUUCUCUUUUGCUUAGUAUGCCCAAGCCUUUUUCGCUCAUGUGCCCCAAACGCAUAUGCCAUAAUUUUGUGAUGUCUGUAUCUGACAAAGAUGAUGUUGAAACAGCAGCAUCACCUGUCACAGUAGAUCCCUGCAAAAUAUACAAAGUACCAGAUCUGUGUGCCUUCAUAACAACAAGAGCUCCUCGAGUGAUUUUGAGAACUCCGUCUUCACCUGAAUACCUGCACCCGAUAGACUCAAGAGUGCCCAAAGAGAUGAGAUUUUUCUUCAAAUCUGGAACAUGUCUAACAUUUGUGAGCGUCCUCACAAUACCAUCGUACAUUUUAAUCCGGAUUGUGCCUUUGCCAACAACUUUACAAACAGCGUUGUUGCCCAUUAAGAUAACUCCACCUUCAGUUGAUUCAUAUGUUGAAAACCAGUCCCUAUUGGAACACAUAUGAUAUGAACAACCCGAAUCUAAAAUCCACUCAUUGUUAGACCUAAAAUUAUUUUCCGUUGCACAGAAAAUGGUUCCAUCAUUCUCAUCAGCUGCUAUACUAGUUUCAGCGGAUUUAGUAUUUUUCUCAACAAAUUUCCCCUUUUGCUUUUCUUUAUUUCUCAAUUUAAAGCAAUCAGAGAUAACAUGGCCCUUCUUUUUACAAUAAUUGCACACCACAUUUUUAUGUCUGGACUUGGAUCUACUUCUAUUUUCUGUGUUUCUCUUUUCAGAUCUACCCCCAACAAACAAGCCAUCGGCUUGACUCCCACUAGUUUCCCCAGUAAUAUCUCUAUCUAUCUGCUCUUUAGAUUUUAAUGCAGAUUUAAUUUCCCGAUACGAAAUUGUUUCCUUUCCAUAAAUCAUAGUAUCGCGGAAAUGCUUAAAAGACUGGGGAAGGGAACACAAAAAUAAUAGGGCUUGAUAUUCAUCAUCAAUUUUCGAAUCUAUAUUUCCCAAAUCCAUAAUAAUGGAAUCAAAUUUAUCAAGAUGGGAGAGUAUAGAUGUACCUUCAGACAUCCGAAGCAUGUACAAACUCUGCUUCAAAUAUAGCCGAUUCUCGACUGUCUUCUUCAUAUACAAGGCUUUCAAUUUAUCCCACAUAGCCUUGGCCGAAGUCUCCGUUGCUACCUCACGCAAUACCUCAUCGGAGAGAUUUAAGAUUAUGCUGGAUCUGGCCUUCUUAUCCAUAUCUGCGAAAUCCGCAUCCUUUACAUCUUCUGGUUUGUUCUCGAUUCCGUGAAUCGCUAGAUCAACUCCGUCUUGAACAAGAAUGGCCUCCAUCUUGAGCUGCCACAUUCCGAAGUUGACAUUCCUGUCGAAUUUCUCGACAACCGUCUUUGUUAUCGUCAUUGUUGCCACAAAUUCUGUAAUUUGAAGUUUGUCUCAAAAAACUGGCCAAACAAAUAUGCAAGUCUCGUGAGCGGGCCCCACAGGGUGAGCGGGCCCCACGAGAUUAAGCGGGCCCCACGGGAUGAACGGACCCACAAGGUGAGCGGGCCGCACGAAUGAACCGGCCCUUACAGGAUGAGUGGGCCCCACAGGAUGGACGGACCCCACCAGAUGAACCUGUCUUGCAAAAUAUAAUAACCAGCUCUGAUACCAGUUUGUUAGGACCGGGCCAGGAAAUAGACAAAUCCAAAUUAGGACAAAGUAGGCGGUAUAACCGACCAUAUAAUAGUUAGGCGGUAGAUACCAGCCAUAUAAUAAUUAGGCGGUAAAACCGACCAUAUAAAGACGGAUAACAAAGCAAAUAAAAGACACAGAAGAUUUACGUGGUUCGGUCAAAUUGACCUACGUCCACGGGCGAGGGAGGAGUAAUAUUUCUACUAUGAAGAUGAAAUACAAAAGACCGUAGGAAAGUGGUUCCUAGGCCAAUAGGCACUUACAAAAGAGUUUAGAAAAUAUUCCUAAACUCAAAACAAGAGAGCCUAAAAUAUUUGACUGAAUGGGCUAGAUGACUCAAGAAGCUAAUAGCCCAUAUAACUCUCUUGAGUGGUGCGAGUUUAUUCCUUCAUCAGGCUCCCUUAUUUAUAGGAAACCAAAGAAAGAAUUCCUUUGGCUUCUACCGAUGUGGGACGAAGCACCAAAAGCAUUUGGUCAACAAAUGCGGCUUCAACAAAUCUCCACCUUCUCGAUGUUGGGGACUCAUCAAGGUGGAGAUUUGUUGAAGCCGCAUUUGUUGACCAAAUGCUUUUGGUGCUUCGUCCCACAUCGGUAGAAGCUCAAAGGAAUUCUUCCUUUGGUUUCCUAUAAAUAAGGGAGCCUGAUGAAGGAAUAAACUCGCACCACUCAAGAGAGUUAUAUGGGCUAUUAGUUUCUUGAGUCAUCUAGGCCAUUCAGUCAAAUAUUUUAGGCUCUCUUGUUUUGAGUUUAGGAAUAUUUUCUAAACUCUUUUGUAAGUGCCUAUUGGCCUAGGAACCACUUUCCUACGGUCUUUUGUAUUUCUUGUUCAUAGUAGAAAUAUUGCUCCUCCCUCGCCCGUGGACGUAGGUCAAUUUGACCGAACCACGUAAAUCUUCUGUGUCUUUUAUUUGCUUUGUUAUCCGUCUUUAUAUGGUCGGUUUUACCGCCUAAUUAUUAUAUGGCUGGUAUCUACCGCCUAACUAUUAUAUGGUCGGUUAUACCGCCUACUUUGUCCUAAUUUGGAUUUGUCUAUUUCCUGACCCGGUCCUAACAAACUGGUAUCAGAGCUGGUUAUUAUAUUUUGCAAGACAGGUUCAUCUGGUGGGGUCCGUCCAUCCUGUGGGGCCCACUCAUCCUGUAAGGGCCGGUUCAUUCGUGGGGCCCGCUCACCCUGUGGGGCCCGCUCACGAGACUUGCAUAUUUGUUUGGCCAGUUUUUUGAGACAAACUUCAAAUUACAGAAUUUGUGGCAACAAUGACGAUAACAAAGACGAUUGUUGAGAAAUUCGACAGGAAUGUCAACUUCGGAAUGUGGCAGAUCAAGAUGGAGGCCAUUCUUGUUCAAGACGGAGUUGAUCUAGCGAUUCACGGAAUCGAGAACAAACCAGAAGAUGUAAAGGAUGCGGAUUUCGCAGAUAUGGAUAAGAAGGCCAGAUCCAGCAUAAUCUUAAAUCUCUCCGAUGAGGUAUUGCGUGAGGUAGCAACGGAGACUUCGGCCAAGGCUAUGUGGGAUAAAUUGAAAGCCUUGUAUAUGAAGAAGACAGUCGAGAAUCGGCUAUAUUUGAAGCAGAGUUUGUACAUGCUUCGGAUGUCUGAAGGUACAUCUAUACUCUCCCAUCUUGAUAAAUUUGAUUCCAUUAUUAUGGAUUUGGGAAAUAUAGAUUCGAAAAUUGAUGAUGAAUAUCAAGCCCUAUUAUUUUUGUGUUCCCUUCCCCAGUCUUUUAAGCAUUUCCGCGAUACUAUGAUUUAUGGAAAGGAAACAAUUUCGUAUCGGGAAAUUAAAUCUGCAUUAAAAUCUAAAGAGCAGAUAGAUAGAGAUAUUACUGGGGAAACUAGUGGGAGUCAAGCCGAUGGCUUGUUUGUUGGGGGUAGAUCUGAAAAGAGAAACACAGAAAAUAGAAGUAGAUCCAAGUCCAGACAUAAAAAUGUGGUGUGCAAUUAUUGUAAAAAGAAGGGCCAUGUUAUCUCUGAUUGCUUUAAAUUGAGAAAUAAAGAAAAGCAAAAGGGGAAAUUUGUUGAGAAAAAUACUAAAUCCGCUGAAACUAGUAUAGCAGCUGAUGAGAAUGAUGGAACCAUUUUCUGUGCAACGGAAAAUAAUUUUAGGUCUAACAAUGAGUGGAUUUUAGAUUCGGGUUGUUCAUAUCAUAUGUGUUCCAAUAGGGACUGGUUUUCAACAUAUGAAUCAACUGAAGGUGGAGUUAUCUUAAUGGGCAACAACGCUGUUUGUAAAGUUGUUGGCAAAGGCACAAUCCGGAUUAAAAUGUACGAUGGUAUUGUGAGGACGCUCACAAAUGUUAGACAUGUUCCAGAUUUGAAGAAAAAUCUCAUCUCUUUGGGCACUCUUGAGUCUAUCGGGUGCAGGUAUUCAGGUGGAGACGGAGUUCUCAAAAUCACUCGAGGAGCUCUUGUUGUUAUGAAGGCACACAGAUCUGGUACUUUGUAUAUUUUGCAGGGAUCUACUGUGACAGGUGAUGCUGCUGUUUCAACAUCAUCUUUGUCAGAUACAGACAUCACAAAAUUAUGGCAUAUGCGUUUGGGGCACAUGAGCGAAAAAGGCUUGGGCAUACUAAGCAAAAGAGAACUUCUGUGUGGACAAAGUACCGGUCCAUUGGAAUUCUGUGAACAUUGUAUUUUUGGGAAGCAGAAAAGAGUCAGCUUCAGUUCACCAGCAAUUCACAAGACAAAAGGUACUCUUGAUUACAUUCAUUCAGAUCUAUGGGGUCCUUCUCGUGCUCCUUCUAAAGGUGGUGCCAGGUACAUGUUGACUUUCAUUGAUGAUUAUUCAAGGAAAGUUUGGGUCUAUUUUCUUAAGCAUAAAAAUGAUGUUUUCCUAACUUUCAAGCAAUGGAAAGUUUUGAUUGAGAAACAAACAGGAAAGCAUAUUAAGCGGUUGAGAACAGAUAAUGGCAUGGAAUUUUGUGGAGGUGAAUUCAAUGAAUUCUGCAAGAAUGAAGGAAUUGUUCGGCAUCACACCGUCAGAAUGACGCCUCAACAAAAUGGUGUGGCUGAACGUAUGAACAGAACUCUUUUGGAGAGAGCAAGAUGUAUGAUCUCCAAUGCAGGGUUGACAAAUGACUUUUGGGCAGAGGCGAUCAAUAUGGCCUGUUAUAUUGUCAACCGUUCUCCUUCUGCAUCUAUUGAUUUCAAAACUCCUGAGCAAGUUUGGUCAGGUACUCCUGCUGAUUACUCCAAUUUAAAAAUUUUUGGAUGUCCAGCAUACAUGCACGUGAAUGAUGGAAAAUUGGAGCCUAGUGCUAAAAAGUGCAUUUUUCUUGGGUAUGCUUCUGGGGUGAAAGGAUACAGAUUAUGGUGUCCUGAUCCCAAAUCUCCAAAAUUUGUGAUCAGUAGAGAUGUUACUUUCGAUGAAUUGUCUAUGUUAUCUUCCAAGAAAGAGUCUUCUAGUCCUUGUACUACUAAUAGUACACAGAAGCAGGUGGAGCUUCAUAUUGGCAGUUCUGGUCCUUCUCAGUCCAAAUCUUCUAUUCAACAAAUGCCAGUAGAUACACCUGAAUCUACUGUUGAAGAUAGCUCAGAAGAAGAGGAGUAUUCCAUAGCCAGAGAUAGACAAAGGAGAGACAUUCGACCACCACAAAGAUAUGCAAAUUUAGUUGCAUAUGCUUUAUCUGUUGCAGAAGAAACUGAUGCAGUUGGUGAGCCUUCCACCUAUUCAGAAGCAGUUUCUUGUGAUGAUUCUGCAAAGUGGUUGAUUGCGAUGAAUGAAGAAAUUGAAUCUCUUCAUCAGAAUGAAACUUGGGUUCUUAUAAAGCCGCCGUCAGCUAAGAAAAUUGUUGGUUGCAAGUGGGUUUUCAAGAAAAAGGAAGGUAUUCCAGGGGUUGAAGAUGCAAGAUAUAAAGCACGAUUGGUUGCAAAGGGCUAUAGUCAGGUACAAGGUGUUGAUUUUAAUGAUAUAUUCUCACCUGUUGUUAAACAUAGCUCUAUUCGUGUUUUGCUUGCUUUAGUUGCCAUGUAUAAUUUGGAAUUAGAACAACUCGACGUUAAGACAGCUUUCUUACAUGGCGAACUUGAAGAACAAAUUUAUAUGAAACAACCCCAGGGUUUUAAAAUUGAAGGUAAGGAAGACCAUGUUUGCUUAUUGAAGAAAUCCUUAUAUGGAUUAAAGCAGUCUCCAAGACAAUGGUAUAAAAGAUUUGAUUCCUUUAUGUUGGGUCAUGGUUAUUUUAGGAGCAUGUAUGAUAGUUGUGUUUACUUCCGGAAGUUAAAUGAUGGUUCUUUCAUUUAUUUGCUGCUUUAUGUUGAUGACAUGCUCAUUGCUGCCAAGAAUUUGUCAGAAAUUCACACUUUGAAACUGCAGUUAAAUAGUGAAUUUGAAAUGAAAGAUUUGGGAGCAGCUAAGAAAAUUCUUGGCAUGGAUAUCAAGCGAGAUCGAGGAGUAGGGAAAUUGUUCUUGACCCAGAAAAAUUACCUUGAGAAAGUUUUGGAGCGUUUUGGCAUGAAAGAUGCUAAACCAGUAUCUACUCCUCUUGCUAGCCAUUUUCGGCUAUCUGCUGCUCAAUCACCAAAAUCAGAUGAAGAGGAAGAUUAUAUGACACGGGUUCCUUAUUCCAGUGCAGUCGGCAGUGUUAUGUAUGCAAUGGUUUGUACUCGUCCAGAUAUUGCACAAGCAGUCAGUGUUGUUAGCAGAUAUAUGUUUUGCCCUGGUAAAGCACAUUGGCAAGCUGUGAAGUGGAUUCUCAAAUACUUGCGAGGUACUUCAAAUACAUGUUUGGAGUUUGGAAGAAAUAAUAACACUUUGGUUGGUUUUGUAGACUCAAACUACGCUGGGGAUCUUGACAGGAGAAGAUCACUUUCAGACUAUGUAUUUUGCAUUGGCGGUUGUGCUGUUAGUUGGAAAGCUACUCUACAACCUGUCGUAACUUUGUCUACUACUGAAGCAGAAUAUAUGGCUGUGACCGAGGCAAUCAAAGAAGCCUUGUGGUUGAAGAGUUUAUUUAACGAGCUAAGUCUAUAUCAAGGUGUUAUUGAUAUUCACUGUGAUAGUCAAAGUGCCAUACACUUGACUAAAGAUCAGAUGUAUCAUGAGAGGACGAAACACAUUGAUGUGAAAUAUCACUUCAUUCGGGAUAUCAUUGCUGAGGGAAAAGUCCUUAUUCAGAAAAUCAAUACUAAGGACAAUCCAGCCGAUAUGUUUACGAAACCUCUUCCAAAUUACAAGUUCAAGCAGUGCUUGGACUUGGUUGGUGUUCGUUAUUGGUGAUUUAAACCCAUUGGGGCUUAUAUGAAGAAGGUGGAGCAAGUUUAUAAUCUCUCGAUGUUGGGGACUCAUCAAGGUGGAGAUUUGUUGAAGCCGCAUUUGUUGACCAAAUGCUUUUGGUGUUUCGUCCCACAUCGGUAGAAGCCAAAGGAAUUCUUCUUUUGGUUUCCUAUAAAUAAGGGAGCCUGAUGAAGGAAUAAACUUGCACCACUCAAGAGAGUUAUAUGGGCUAUUAGCUUCUUGAGUCAUCUAGCCCAUUCAGUCAAAUAUUUUAGGCUCUCUUGUUUUGAGUUUAGGAAUAUUUUCUAAACUCUUUUGUAAGUGCCUAUUGGCCUAGGAACCACUUUCCUACGGUUUUUUGUAUUUCUUCUUCAUAGUAGAAAUAUUGCUCCUCCCUCGCCCGUGGACGUAGGUCAAUUUGACCGAACCAUGUAAAUCUUCUGUGUCUUUUAUUUGCUUUGUUAUCCGUCUUUAUAUGGUCGGUUUUACCGCCUAAUUAUUAUAUGGCUGGUAUCUACCACCUAUCUAUUAUAUGGUCGGUUAUACCGCCUACUUUGUCCUAACUUGGAUUUGUCUAUUUCCUGGCCCGGUCCUAACAGUUCGGUUUAUUGGUCUCCAAUCUCAAGGCACUGAAUGGAUAGAACACUAAAUUAUAAGAAAAAAUUGUCAGUUAACCAUUAUUCUGUAUUAUUAGGAUGUUGGCAUCAUUAGGUCAUAUUUUUUAGCCCCAUAUGAAGACAUUCAUAGUUUUGAGCAAACUUAGGCAGAAAUAAUACUUUUCUUCAUUCCAAUUGUUUGAAAUUUUUUUGUAAGCUUAGCCUUCUUCUCUUGAUGAUUUUAUAUCGUAAAUAGACUUCUCUACAUUGACAUGGCUGUGCUGCUGGAAGCAUUUGUUCGGGGUUUAAUUAAGAGCCUUUUAGCAUGUUUUAUGCUCACAGCUCCAACAUCAACUUUUUGUUGCUUCUUGUAUAAUGCUUGCAACUGAGAUGUUGAUUAGUGGAUUUUUGAUCUACUACUUCUUAGCAUUCACACUCUUCAGUGAACUGUAAGAGAAAGGAAGAACUAUGUUUGGGCCUCUUCCUGAGAGACCAUGCACUCUUAAAUGCUUGAUUACAUAGAAUUAGUCCUCUCUUGCUUGCAGUACUGGGAUGUACCAUCCUUCUGAUUGCCAUGGUUAAUUCUGCUUUCUAAACUCAUACUGUUACCUGAUUUUUUUACUAAAACUUUGCUGAGCUAGUUCCUUUAUUGACCUGGCUACAUGAUUUUGCUUACUCUUUUGCAGGAAAUUCUAUCUCAUUCAACAACUUUGUCAUUAGUGCUACUAGAUGAAGUAUGUGCUGUGAAGAAGUUCCUAGUUUCAUUUUUUAUUUUUGUUGGGACAAUUUUACAGUUCAUUUGUUUGACUCGUUUAUGUGAUUUAAUUUAUAGAGACCCUGCUUGUUUAGAGAUAGCACCAUGCAUUACCUCCUUUUAUAGGUGGGCGCAGGAACAAAUCCCCAAGAAGGCGCUGCAUUGGGAAUGGCAUUGCUUGAAUCUUUUGCAGAGGCUGGUCCAUUACUAACAAUGGCAACAACACAUCAUGGAGAACUUAAAACCCUUAAAUACAGGUAGUUUGCGAGAAGGUACAAUUUCUUGUCUAACUGCAUGCCAAUCUCGAACUGAUGGCUUCCUGUUGGAAAACACGACUGACAGCAAUAAAGCCUUCGAAAAUGCAUGCAUGGAGUUUGACGAGAUGAACUUGAAGCCCACCUUUAGGAUUCUUUGGGGAGUACCAGGUUCUCUUUUCAAUUUGGUGGUAACCGGUUCUUCAUUAGUUGCAGUUCCUUUGCCGAAAUAUUCAUAUUAUAAACAAGAAUCAUUUGUGUGAUUGAGGUGUUUUUAGCAUUUGUAUAAACCUAUUUACAUGGGUUUUUCUUCCUUGUACAUCUCACCUUUCCAGGCCGUUCAAAUGCAAUCAGCAUUGCUGAAAGGCUUGGAAUUCCAAAUGCAAUUUUGGAUAAUGCUCGUGAACUUUAUGGAGUGGCUAGUGCAGAAAUUAACGAGGUAAUAUUUGUUUGAUAUUGGAAUAUGUACGCCUAUCAGGACUGUUAAUUUGCAAAUAUGCAUCCUAUUGCAGAAUGGUUGACUAUCUUUUACAAUCAACUUCACAAGAACACUCAAACAUAAGAAUUACCUAGAUUAAAUCUGUUUCUGUCCUUAUAGAUUGUUAAUUAGUGUAAUUUUGAUAGAUGCCAUCACCUUUUGACAUGAUAUUACUGACACUUUUGAACUAUAUAUGUGCCAAAUUGUAGAAGCAACAAUAAACCUAGUCAUUCUUUUCAAGGGUACCAAAUUACACUAUAUAUUAAUUAGAUUGGUAUUUACUGCUUUCUGCGGGUGUUGUCUUUAGAUGCAUAUAUGCAGUAAAUGGUUGUGAUGCUUUCUUUACAAGUUUUGAUAUAUUUUCAUUAUUUUCUUAAGAAAUCUUCCCUUUGUUAUGACCUGUUGCAGAUUAUAGUAGAAAUGGAGAGAUUUAAGCAUAAUUUCCAUAAGCAAAUCCAGGAAGCUCAACAUUAUCUGAUGUGAGAAUCUUUCAAUUAACUAGAUAUGUCUUUGUUUGAUUGCCUUAGCUGUCUCCCAGAACUACAGAAAUGCCUUAUUGUCCUGAUGCGUUGAGAAGAAAAUACUUAACACUUACACAGUGUAGAGUUUAUAGAAAGAAAUGCUCAAAUACCUUUGGAUUCAUCCUAUUUGCUGGAAGUAUUGUGUACAUAAAUCUGAAGUAAAGUGGAGUGGGCUUUAGUAUCAGUAGUGAUUAAUUACAGGGGUAGAAAUGAAUGCCACAUGUAAUAUCCUACUACGAGGUGAAUUUUUUUAGUACAGUGCCAUCUCUUUGAAAAGAUAGAUUAUUGUUGGUUAAGUGAGUCAUGUUCAUAUGAUUUCCUUUACCAACAUAACUUUCAACAUCUUUAUGUGCUUGUGGAUACCUGAAUGAUGGAAGGGAUACCCUAAUGACAGUAUAAUUGGUUAAAGAUGACAAAGGAAAUAUCAAAAAAAUUAAUGUAGAUACUUAAUUUGCUGAUUAAUGUAUUGAGAAUAAAAGUUCCACAGAUGGUUGACGCUCCAGAUUCUUUUCAUAAUUAUUUGUCUCAGAUUGUCGAAAAAACUCCAUAGCGAUCUAGUGUUGACCAGCAAAAAUGUCAAGGAACACCAAAGGAAUCAAAGAUACAAGAUGACACAAAAAAUAUCUGAGACUGCAGGUUCAGCACGUUCAAGGCUUCAUGAGAAAGUACGACAGCUUCGAACAUCUCAUAACAAUUGGCAACAUAGGUCAAUGGUUAAAAAGAGCGAGGACACUUUGACUUCUGUUGAUCUGCAAAGUGAAGCAGGAAGAAGUGAGACCUCCAAUGCCUCUGAGACUCUAACUUCAAAUAAUACGAGGCAGCAACCAGUCCCAGGUAUAUAGCCUAUUGGUUUCAAUUGCUGUUCUUUCUGUUCCAGGCAAUCUGAUUUUAGGAGUUGUAGGGUUGACAUCUAUGCUGACUAUAUGAGGGUAAGGUAAUUAAAGUUUUCCUUGCAUGUAUAGCAGAUAAAAGAGCUGAAAUUCCAAAAGAAGGUGAUACAGUGGUAGUUCCUUCUCUCAACAAGAAAGCAGUAGUUUUGAAGGUGGAGCCAUCCAAGGAAGAAAUAGUUGUUCAAGCUGGCAAUAUGAAGCUGAAGUUAAGGCUGGUGGAUGUAAUCUGAGUAAAACUUUUCUGCCUGCUUUGGCUUCAAAAGCAACCAGUAGUAGCAGUUAUCUGAGAUGUGGCUUUGAGGAUGCACAAAUACAACCACUGGGGCUGCUUGUGGGAGCUUCUGAUUCCAGUCAUU
rnacentral:lncRNA from 1 species